AACGAACGCUGGCGGCAUGCCUAACACAUGCAAGUCGAACGAGACCUUCGGGUCUAGUGGCGCACGGGUGCGUAACGCGUGGGAAUCUGCCCUUGGGUUCGGAAUAACAGUUAGAAAUGACUGCUAAUACCGGAUGAUGUCUUCGGACCAAAGAUUUAUCGCCCAAGGAUGAGCCCGCGUAGGAUUAGGUAGUUGGUGGGGUAAUGGCCCACCAAGCCGACGAUCCUUAGCUGGUCUGAGAGGAUGAUCAGCCACACUGGGACUGAGACACGGCCCAGACUCCUACGGGAGGCAGCAGUGGGGAAUAUUGGACAAUGGGCGAAAGCCUGAUCCAGCAAUGCCGCGUGAGUGAUGAAGGCCUUAGGGUUGUAAAGCUCUUUUACCAGGGAUGAUAAUGACAGUACCUGGAGAAUAAGCUCCGGCUAACUCCGUGCCAGCCGCCGCAGUAA
rnacentral:rRNA from 1 species